GAUGAACGCUGGCGGCGUGCUUAACACAUGCAAGUCGAACGGAAAGGCCCAAGCUUGCUUGGGUACUCGAGUGGCGAACGGGUGAGUAACACGUGGGUGAUCUGCCCUGCACUUCGGGAUAAGCCUGGGAAACUGGGUCUAAUACUGGAUAGGACCACUUCUUGGAUGUUGUGGUGGAAAGUUUUUUCGGUGUGGGAUGAGCUCGCGGCCUAUCAGCUUGUUGGUGGGGUAAUGGCCUACCAAGGCGUCGACGGGUAGCCGGCCUGAGAGGGUGUACGGCCACAUUGGGACUGAGAUACGGCCCAGACGCCUACGGGAGGCAGCAGUGGGGAAGAUUGCACAAUGGGCGCAAGCCUGAUGCAGCGACGCCGCGUGGGGGAUGACGGCCUUCGGGUUGUAAACUCCUUUCGCUAGGGACGAAGCGUUUUGUGACGGUACCUGGAGAAGAAGCACCGGCUAACUACGUG
rnacentral:rRNA from 1 species